rnacentral:rRNA from 1 species
UACGGGGGGGGGCAAGCGUUGUUCGGAAUUACUGGGCGUAAAGGGCUCGUAGGUGGCCAACUAAGUCAGACGUGAAAUCCCCCAGGCUCAACUUGGGAACUGCGUCUGAUACUGGAUGGCUUGAAUUCGGGAGAGGGAUGCAGAAUUCCAGGUGUAGCGGUGAAAAUGCGUAGAUAUCUGGAGGAACACCGGUGGCGAAGGCGGCAUCCUGGACCGGUAUUGACGCUGAGGGCGCGAAAAGCUAGGGGGAGCAAAACGGGG